rnacentral:ncRNA from 1 species
AUCGACCACGAGGGGAGCCGCAAAUGGGCGGCUGAGAGUGAAUCCGAAAUUCUAACCCUUUGAACCUGUAAGUUAAUGCUUGCGUAGGAAUGUGGAUAGAGACCGAC